rnacentral:rRNA from 1 species
GAUGAACGCUGGCGGCGUGCCUAAUACAUGCAAGUAGAACGCUGAAGGAGGAGCUUGCUCUUCUGGAUGAGUUGCGAACGGGUGAGUAACGCGUAGGUAACCUGCCUGGUAGCGGGGGAUAACUAUUGGAAACGAUAGCUAAUACCGCAUGACAACAGUUAUUGCAUGAUAACUGUUUAAAAGGGGCAACUGCUCCACUACCAGAUGGACCUGCGUUGUAUUAGCUAGUUGGUGAGGUAACGGCUCACCAAGGCGACGAUACAUAGCCGACCUGAGAGGGUGAGCGGCCACCCUGGGACUGAGACACGGCCCAGAAUCCUACGGGAGGCAGCAGUAGGGAAUCUUCGGCAAUGGACGGAAGUCUGAACGAGCAACGCCGCGUGAGUGAAGAAGGUUUUCGGAUCGUAAAGCUCUGUUGUAAGAGAAGAACGAGUGUGAGAGUGGAAAGUUCACACUGUGACGGUAUCUUACCAGAAAGGGACGGCUAACUACGUG